UACGUAGGGGGCAAGCGUUGUCCGGAUUUAUUGGGCGUAAAGCGCUCGCAGGUGGUUCGUCGCGUCGUGCGUGAAAGACCCCGGCUCAACUGGGGGGUGUCGUGCGAUACGGGCGGACUGGAGGCCAGUAGGGGGAUGCGGAAUUCCGGGUGUAGUGGUGGAAUGCGUAGAGAUCGGGAGGAAGGCCGGUGGCGAAGGCGGCGCUCUGGAACAUUUCUGACGCUGAGGCUCGAAAGCGUGGGGAGCAAACAGG
rnacentral:rRNA from 1 species